rnacentral:lncRNA from 1 species
GACUACUAAUGCUAUCAUCUGGACCGUCACUCCGUUCCCCGAUUAGUCCCUGCUACGUUCUCAUUUCCUGAAGAGAACGAUGAAAGUAAAAGGGUGAGCUCAACUAGCCCAGUAAGAAAUAUUAUGACUAAGAUAAUGCAAAAUAAAUUAUCGUUAGCCUUCAACAGUGUUAAACUGAUACAAUAUAACAAACAUCAAGUUUAACUGCAGCGGAAUAAGCAAUCCAUUAAAAGAGUCAACUAGAGAAUAAAAUCUACUAUCUUCUAUGAUUUAAAAGAUUUUUCAUCACUUUUAAUGCUGAGACUCAACUUAAUAAAUAAACCACAUCAUCUUUGCACUACUGUAAGACCCCAAAUUAUUAUGAAUAAAAUUAAAUUUUCUCUAUUUAUUAUCUUGAAAUAAUAAAGAGUUAAUUUGAUAUAAUACUUUGGUUAUGGGUGAAAUGUGCAAAUUUUACAAAAUAAGCAAGUGGUUAUAAAAUAUUCAUUUUUUGUCGGGGAAUAUUCGUUUGGUCGUGGAAUAUUCUUGUUGUCGGGGAAUAUUCGUACGACGGCACAAUCAUUCGUGGGCCUCAUAACAGAAUAACUGUCGGAUGAAGAAAACGACAAGUUUGAGUUUUUAUAAAUAACGGCGUAGUUGUUACCGUUAACACUGUUGGAAUACCCGGUGGUUAAGAAUACAGUAAUAUGUGUGAUUGCACAGUAGCACACGGUAUUGCACAGUAUUUUUGAAUUAUUGAUCCUUACGUAAGAAGGCACUACUCAAUAAUUGUUACAGUAGUUACUGUUCAAUAUUUUAUUUUAUUGAUUCAAUAAUUGUUGCGUUGAUAGUUUAUAUUAUUGUUGUUUCAAUAAUUAUCAUUGCACAGUAUUUCCCAUUAUCAGAUCAAUAAUUCAUAUUAUUUGAAUGAUAUUAUUAGAUAGCAUUAUUGGAAAUGUCUAGAAAGUUCUGUCAAAGAGAGGUUUGGUCAUCUAAUUGCGCGCCAGUAAGGAGAAAUCCUUAUCGGAAAGCCCCCUCUUUCCUGGGAACGGCCUGCUUGUCAUAAUUGUGAUUCUGUAAUAUUAUUUGAGAAUAAUUAAUUAUUGAUUUAUAUGAUAAGGAAAUAUUUAUUUGAUGUGGAUAUAAAUGAUAGAUUUAUUUAUUUUAUAUGGUUAUUAAUGAAAGAAUUAAUGCUGAAAUGUUUUAUCAGUAUUUUGUCAGAUUGGGAGGUAUUAAAAAUUACCCGUUUGUGGAUUUCGGAUAUUUUCUGUUUGGAAUUUGGAAAAACUUUCUUCUGUAAAGUUGUAGAGAAUUCAAUUUCAUGUGGAAUGGACAUAAAAUUCAUAUUUUUCUGAUAAACGAACUAUUUUCUAUGAAUUAUUAAAGUUUCUGAUUAUUAUUUAAAUGAUAAAACAUUUUGGAAAAUUCUAGAAUUGGUUGGUGAGAAAAGUGCUCAAUUGAAUUUUAAAUGUGGUGGGUGGCAAUAGUAGCAGGUAAAGCCAUCAGGUAGUAGGUCAAGUCUGCUUCAGCGUGCUAAUAUUUUCCUAUAAAUAGAGGGCUAAGUUAGAAUUGAAAAUCACACCAGAAACAUAAGCUUUCUCUCUUUCUCUCUAUAUUAUCGAGCGUAUUUUGUGCGUAUUUAGAUACUUUGAGAGUUGCUGUUCAGUACAAGUUUCAUUCAGCAUCACUUUCGACCUUUCAUUCUGAAGUACUGAUUCUUUGAGGUAAGGGAUGUUAUUUUCUUUAUAUAUGAUAUUAUUUCUUUCAAUAUCAUUAUGCCGAAGUAUUGAUCUGAACUUUUAAUCAAAUUUAGAACUUUUUGUGUCGGAAUUACUGUAUACGGCACUAUUCACGUAUACGACACUAUUCACGAAUAAGGCACUAUUCACCCAAAAAUGAAAUUUUCUUCUUUUUGUCCAAGAUGUCUAUUAUGGUUACUAUCUUUGAUUGUAUCCAUGUUUUGGUCUUUAUUUUUGAAUUCUGCUUCAAAAUUGGUUAUUAUGAAGUAUUAUUGAUCUUGGAUAAACUGUUAUACGAAUCCCUACUAUUUGUCCUUCUGUCUCACUGGAUUCGUUUUCUUUAAAAUAUUUUUCAUCAUCCUCAGUCCUAAAUGAUGAUAUUACUAAAUAUCUUUGGCCUGUAGUGCAAAGAUAAAUGAUUAACUGAUGAAUAUCUUUGGCCCGUAGUGCAAAGAUGAACAGGUGUUGAGAUGAACAUGACCAACUGGUGAUACAAAUGAAUAUCUUUGGCCUGUAGUGCAAAGAUGAAUAUUUGAUUAAAGAUGUAUAUUGAUUGUUGUUACAGGGAUAAAAUAUUGAUGAUGGACUUUUAAAUCUUAGAAGAUAGUAGAACUCAUUCUCUACUUGACUCUUCUAAUGGAUUGUUGUUUCCGCUGCAGUUGUUGAUCUAAAACUUGUUGUCUAUUAUAUUUUAUCAGAUUUUUCCCUGUUGAAGACUAAUGAUAAUUUGUUGUAUAUUAUCUUAGUCAUAAUAUUCUUUACUGGGCUAGUUGAGCUCACCCUUUUCCUUUUUGUUCCAUUUUUCUUCUCAGGAGGUGAGAACAUAGCAGGAUCUAGUCGGGGUAUGGAGUGAUGGUUCUAGAAAGAUGUUUUAGCAGUCCUCACUAUUUCUGUAAAAUAGUGUUUGAAUAAUUGUAAUGAGGACUUAUUUGAGUGUGGAUAUUGUCUAGAAGACAAUAUUUGUAUUUAAACUCACAGUAUGUGUUGUCGUAUUUUGCACGACAAUUGUAUUAUUGAAGUUGUAGUUUGCUUUCUGUACCAUGUAUUUGGCGACUCAGAAUGGGUGUUGUAUACCUAUUUUGGGGGCGUCAUAGUUACGACCAAAGAUAUUCAUUAGUAUCACAACCACAAAUUAUACAUGCACUUCGGGCCAAGGAUAUUCGUGUAUUCAUCAAUGGUCAUGAUCAUGCCAACAACUGUCCAUCAAUGUACUACGGGCUAAUAAGAACUUUUACCAUAUCAUUUGUAACAUUACGGUCAUGAUUAUACCGAAUAAUCCCUGGUCAUAAUCAUACCAAGUCCAUCUAUGCACUACAGGCCACAGAUGACUUUCAACAUAAUAUAAACAUGAGAAUGAUGAUAAUGAUAUAGGAAUUCAAUAAAACAAGUUUAAGAAUUAAUUUAUCCAGGAACCAAUAACGUCCAAAUUGUCAACAUGAUACUUCUUUGAGGAGUAAAAUUCAAGAAUGCUCAGAAGAAUAUUUUCAUGAAAAGAUACUGGAUGAAGCGCAAAUAUCAAAGAUAUUCCACUAAUUUCAUGAAGUAUAAAAGCCAAAACUUUAACCAACUGAGUAUAAUAAAGAAUGGAAUAACAAAAGAAAUCACCAGGCAUGCGAUAGACCGCACAGACAGGUUAUUCCAAUAGAAUAAUAAAUAACGAAACCAGGUCAUGCGUAAACGCAUAGACAGGAUAUUCCAACAGAAUAAUAAAUAAUGGAACCAGGUCAUGCGUAAACGCACAGACAUGAUAUUCCAACAGAAUAAUAAAUAAUGGAACCAAGUCAUGCAUAAACGCACAGACAGGAGAUUCCAACAAAACAAUAAUUAAUGGAACCAGGUCAUGCGUAAACGCACAGACCGGAUGUUCCAAUAGAAUAAUAAAGAAUGAAAUAAUAGAAGAAUUUCACCAUGUAUGCGGUACUUCGCAUAGACAAGUUAUUCCAAUAUAAUAAUAAAGAAUGGAAUAACAGAAGAAUUUCACCAUGUAUGCGGUACUUCGCAUAGACAGGUUAUUCCAACAUAAUAAUAAAAAAUGGAAUAACAUAAGAAUUUCACCAUGUAUGCGGUACUUUGAAUAGACAGGUUAUUCCAACAUAAUAAUAAAGAAUGGAAUAACAGAAGAAUUUCACCAUGUAUGCGAUACUUCGCAUAGACGGGUUAUUCCAACAUAAUAAUAAAGAAUGGAAUAAUAGAAGCUCUCUUCAUGAAUACGAAAGAAAUAAUACCCCUUACCUUAGAAGAAACUGGAUAUAGGAGUAGUGAAGUAGCAGAAUACUUUUCUUCUUUCUCUCUAUAGUUUCUCUUUCUAGAGUUUCAGUGAAUUUGUAAGAAAUAAUGAAGGAAUGAGCUUUUAUUUAUAGGAGAAUGGACUGAAUAGUAACUAAUUCAUGAACGCUCCAGAUUGAUUUACUUUUAAAUGGACGGUCCAUAUUGAUUUAUUAUGCAGUAUUAAUAAAAUAUUCUAAUAAAACAAAAUCUUUUAAAUAGAAUAUAAUAUAUUCUAUUUAUAAUCUAAUAAAACGAAUAACUUUAUAAAAGUAUUCUGUUUUAUAUAAAAAGAUUUUACUAUGUAAACACUAUGCAGGCACUAUGCAAACACUAUGCAUAAUAGAAUAUUAUAUAUUCUAUUUAUAGUCUAAUAAAACAAAUAACUUUAUAAAAGUAUUCUGUUUUAUAUAAAAAGUUUUCUGUUUUAUUACAUUUAUAAUAAUUAUAAAACAAAACUUAUCACCUUUAUUAUAAUUCACAAUAUUAAUCGACCAGGUUGUUCCCAGGAAAGAGGGGGAUUUUCAAUAAGGAUUUCUCCCUAUUGGCACGCAAUUAGGUGACCAAACCUCUCCUUGGUAGAACUUCUAGACAUUGUUAAUAUUGCAAAUAAUAAUAUUAAUAACUUUGUCAUCUCAAUUAUUGAUAUAAUAAUAUAUAAAAUAUUGACAAUAAUUGAAUCAAAUAACGUGAUAUACUAUGCAGCAAUUAUUGUAGCAAUAAUUGAACAAAACUGAGUGACUUCUCACGUAAGCAUCAAUAAUCAAUACAGUGUGCUACUAUGCAACCACGCGUAUUACUGUACUUUUACUACCGAGUAGUUCAACAGUUUUAACGGUAAAACUUCUGCCAUUAUUUUUAUAAAAAUAAUAUUCCGUUGUGGGGUCCACCAAUGAUUGUACCAUCGUACGGAUAUUCCCCGACAAAAAAGACUAUUCCCCGACCAAUCGAAUAUUAUAUAACAACUUGCGUACUUUGCAAAAUUUAUAAAUACUACCCACAAUUAUAACAUUAUAUCAAAUCCACACCAUAAUAUUCAAAAAAAAUAUUUUGAGAAAUUUAAAUCUUUAUUCAUAAAAUUUGGGGUCUCACAAGUCCUAUUCCUACGAUGUGAGUAAGCUAUAAAUACACGACUAUAUCUUAAAUUACACGUAAUGUCUCUUUGUCAAUUUCACACACUAAAGCUAUAACGUGCCUUUAUUGUCAACCUUUUCCAGCAUGUACUUAUUCUCACACUGGAGAUAUCCCCCGACGACCCUGACUGUCAUGUUCCUUAGUGUGUUUUUCUAUUUUCCGUAUAGGAUUUUGCUCGUUGUUUGGUAAUUGGGCAAGAAGAAGAAUCUUGGUGUUGACAUUGGGCCGUUUUAGUGCUAUUUUUCACAAUCACCUAUUCACUUUGUAAAAAUUAUGGCGAGUAAAGGGAAGAAGGUUUUUGAUCAGGAGAGAUCUUCAAUCAACCCCAUGGUCCAAAUCUAGGGAUCAGUUAAGGAUAGGCUUGGCCCUAACAAACACAUCGUGGACCAGACACAGGCUCAAUUGGCUUCUGCCCGACAUCAAUUAUUUUCCACAAGUGAAAGAACUCCCAAUUCCCACAGUCGUAUCGCGGACAGUCAGUCCUGAACGUGCAUGCGCCAAUAGCAGGAUAGAGAGUUGGAUGGAUGGGACAAGCACAAACUGAUUUAGAUGUGGAAGAUCCAACAAACUCGGGAUGCUAUGGAAGCUCUACGCCUUCAACAAAAGGAGUUGGAUGCACAACUGGCUGAGUUGGAGGGGGAAAUAGAAAUCUCCUUGAGUUGGCCCUGCCAUUGGGAGACCACUCCACAGAGCCAAUCCAUGACAUACAAUUCAGAAGGCUCUAGGGAAAAAAAGGAGUAGAUGUACAUUGCAUUUCACAGUCAAAGAUGAAGGAUGGACGAGGUCUGGACGACGAUAACGAAUUGCCUCCCUAAAGUACGUGAGGGAUCCACCCAUAUCAUCCCCUUUGAAGGAAAAACCUGAACCUGUUAUGAAAAACCUUGCAGAGUUGGAAUAGAAGUUAGUAGCGGUGACUUAGGUGAGUGAGGUGUCGGCCGAUCCGAUGUCCCCCUUUACUCUGGAGAUUUAUCGAGUUCGGGCCAAUCCAACCAAGAAGUUCCCGCCUAUGGAUACUUACGAUGACAAUGGUGACCCUUAUGAUCAUACACACGAAUAUGAUCGUCGCAUGCACUACUAUGAUCACUCUGAUGUCGCCAAGUGUCAAAUGUUCAUUACAACGCUAUAAAAGGGUGCCCGAUUAUGGAUAAUAUCACUGCCAUCGAACUCCAUCGGGUCUUGGAAAGAGUUUAUGCGAUAAAUUCCAUGACUAGUUCGGGAGCAAUAAGAGAAGGGGAAAGUUGACAACGUCUCUUUUGUGGUUUUUCUUUUUCUCAUUUAAUAGACAAAAGCUUAGUGUCUUGUAUCAUGUUUAAUAAAGUGACACCUCCUGCUUCCUUAUAUCAUGAAUCAGCAUUCAUGAAUUAAAAGCUUCUCGUUCCAGCAUACAUGUGUUAUACCCAUAUUUUACUCUACAUCCUUAUUCCCACAUAUAUGUACAUAUAUAGUACAUAUUACACUUCCAAUACACAUAAUAAUUCAUAUUUAUAUUCUAAUUACAUGUAUUUCAAUUAAUUAAACUUAAAUAAUUAUAUAUUUAUAAUUAUGUAUAAAAAUCAUCUCACUAAUUAUGGAAUUAAUCCAUAAAAAACUUAACACUUUUAGUGUAACAAAUUAACUAUUUAAAUAAUCAACAUUCACCCCAUUACCUAAUUUAAAUAACUUAUUUAAAUUAUACAAUCUAUAUUGUAUAAUUAAAUUUAAUUUCCUCCUUCUCUCCAUAAAUUGUUUUCAAACAAUUUAUUUAUAUAUCAAAUAUAUAAUUUAAUAUAUUCAAUCAUUUAUUCAAAUAUGAAUUUAAUUUACUAACUAGUUUAUACCAAUAUACAUAUUUUAUAUAUUGGAUCUCAUCUCAUAUUUUUACUUUACGUCAUUUAGUAUAAUAUUAAAUAUUAUACUAUUAUCCAUGUAACAUACUAUCAUAUAUCCAAUUAUUUUCUUUCCUUUCUAUAAAUUGUCUUCACAAUGUAUUUAACUGUAGUAAAUAUAUUAAUAUAUUCACAACAUUUAAUACACGCAUACAUUACACUCAAUAAUGUAAUAUAUGAUUUCUUCAAUAAAAUAGUGGUUAUACAUGAAGUAUACUUAAUGCCACCAAUCUACCAUAUUAAAAUAAUUUAAUAUCAUAAAUUAUUUUAAUUCUACCUAUCUCAUUUCCUUUAAUAAAUUACCCCUAAAAUUUAUUUACAUAUAAUAAAUAUAUAAUACCAAUAUAUUUAUUAAGCAUAAAUAUCACAUAUUGCAUAGUUAUUACUCAUUUAUGCAAUAUUAUAUCACACAACAUAUCAUCUAAUAAGAAUUUAAGAAUUUUAUUUAUUAAAUUCUUAUUUUAAUAAUUUCCAAAAAUCUGGGUUAUCACAUUCUUCCCCCCUUACAGGGAUUCCGUCCUCGGAAUCACAAUACCGAAUCAUUCAAAAUUGGUUAAUGUUUAUUAUCUCUUGAUCAUGUCAAUCCCCUCUUCGCAACUUUAUUCUGUGAUACUAAAAUAUAUUAUUUUCACAAAUCAUAACAUAUAUCACAUAUUAACAUACAUAUAAACAUGUAUCUCCAAAUAUUUAAUAGCUUCCGCUAUUUUAUACUUAAUCGGUCCUAAAAUUUUCGGACUUAAUUUUUCACCUUUGACCCUCUCCAGAGUCUACUUUCUUUUGUCUCGAUCUGUGUCUAUCCAUCUUUGACAUCAUCUCUAUAUCUUAAUUUCGACAUCCUCUAUGUCUGUUCUUAUUAUCAUAACACCAUAUGUGUUUAUCUUUGUUAAGACACAUUACCAGUGUCUACUUGUUAUUCGGAAAUCUUUAUUCCUCAUAACUCUUACAUUUUUGCUUCUUCAAAGAUUCAUGUACCAUUAUCGUAUUCUAUGACCUACUUUCUUUUAAGGAAGUUCAUUCUUUCUAUACCCAAUCUUCAGAAUAGAAAUUUCCCACAAUUGAUUAAAUAAUUGUGAAGCAAGAUGAAUAAUUCAAGAAUUCAAAAGAUUCGCUUAGAAAGAGAUUUCUGUACCAUGACAAAAAAAAUCAUAAAGUUCAUAAACAUUGUUUCUGAAAAGGUUUCAACAGAAGUUCAUCUGUAAACCGACAUAUCUUACGGACAUAUAGGUGAUCAGCCUGUUUAUGCCCUGUGUUGAUCAAUAAAAUCAUCAUCGUCCUCAGGACGCAAUAUAAAUUUGAACGAUAUUUACGUUCAUCGUCACCGCUAUUUAGCGCAAACAAAACUUCCUAUUUCAAGGAUGUUUUGUAUUGAUCAACACUAUCUUGACGGAACAUUUGCUUUCAGUUCCUCUUUGCCGUCCCCAUGACGCAAUAUAAAAUAAUCCCAUUAUAGGGAAAUUCUUACUCAAUCUGGAGUCCAUACUAAAUCAAUUUAGUUGGAAAGUUCAAAAGCUUAAUAUAAACAAUAUUUGAAUCUGUGUCUAGCCGAUGCUAAUGGCUUUUAACACUUCUUUAUUUAUUUAAAAUACUGAAAAUCAUUUUAUGACUUUGUCAUACUACAUCAUACCAUAAUGGGUUGACGAUCCUUAGAUCACCUCCUACACUUGGUUAAGUUGCAUUGAUGACUCCAUCAUUUGUCAUAUCUACAUCAUAUUAAUGAUGGAUUGAUGACUAUAUAAAAUACAUUUUGAUAUUUUCAACUUUGUCUAGCCAAGUCAAUUAGCAUAGACAUAAGAAACAACCGAACUUUUUAAAACUUAUUGGUUCAACAAUUUGACCCAAUAUAUUUUUUAUAAAACACAAUAAUGCAAUUGUCAGCCCGAUUCCAAUAAAUUUCGAAAUCUAGCAUAGCUACAUGAUUUGGGAAUAUCCAUUUCCUCUUCAUCCACUUUAACUAUUUCCAAAACUUCACCACAUAAUUCUAUUCAUCUCUAACACCAUUAACCCCUACUAUAUUAAAAACAAUCAGUUCUAAACACAUACCCUGGAAUAGUUCAUCAAACUUACCACACAUUAUGUGUUUAGGAACUUGCCAUAAAAAUAUGAGUUUAGGAACUUGUUCUAGCAAUAUGUAGUCCAAGAACUAAUCAGGGACUGUCCAUACGCUUAGGGGCUCAAAAACAUAUCAUAUGAUUAUGAGUCACAAACUUAUCAUAAGCAUGAGUUUUAAGAACUCGCAUCUACUCUUAACAUUCUCUAACUAUCACAUAUAAAUAUUAGAAAAGAAUCACCUUCUCGUCAUAUAUAUAUAUAGAUAGCGCGACACCAACAUUUCAACGAUUAUCAGUGUGAUAAACCAAGUAGUCGUUAAACCAAGCACAAAACUCCUGCCCAUACAAAAGUUUGUACAACUCAGCUACCACAUGAGUACUCAAUUUAAAUCCCAUUUAAUCUCAUCAAAUCUUAUCUUGUUCCUUGCUCAAUACAAAUUUUAUUUAAUUUAUAUUUCAUCAUUCAUAACUCUUUCCGAGUUUUAUUCUUUGUACUAUCUCAUAGUACCAUUUUUAUAUAGCCAUUCUAUUGUAAAUUUCAAUCAUUCGAUUGAUUACCUGUCCUUCUUUGACUUGAUCAGAUCACGUCGUGAUCUUAUCUUAUAAUCGUGUUAUAUUACGAUUUUUUUUCAUUCUAAGAUCGUUUCAUUUUUACGAUCUUCUUAUCUUCUUCCCAAUCGUAUUGGUUUAUAUGAUUAUUAGAAUCAGGUGUCCCCUGAUCCUUUACUUCUUGUCUUCUAAGAUUCUUCUUUGAAUCUUUGCGUAUUAUCUUAACGCAUUCUUUAUGAAUUAUCUAAAUUCAUUUCAAGAUCAUUUAAACCUCAUUUGAGUUUAUGCUUAAUAUAUUCUUUCUUUUCAUCUACCUUCUUUACGGUUAUAGCCUAAGGUACGCCUACCUAAAGUUUAUAACCCAUAGCUUUGAUACCAACUGUAACGCCCCCAAAAUCGGGACCAUUUCCCUUCCCGAUCUUGUGCGUUAAUACUACAUUGUUAUAGCUUUAAAACAUUAUUUAAUGUUAAAAUAGCUAAAAAUGCAGAAUAAAUUUUAAUUUUCUUCUUUAUUCCCAUUCAUUCAUUCCCUGAAUCGCAACCUUUACAAUUCUUCUUUAUACUAAAAUUAUAUUUAUUCUCAUUUCAGAAUAAACAUUCUUUAUCUAUUUAACAUUUCAAACUAUACAUUACUGCCAAUUAUAUUUAGCAACUAUCAAUCAUAGCUUUAUACCAUUUCUAAUUCAAAGAAAUGUAUUCAUUUCGUCCAUCAUUCAUCCUUCAUCAUCCGCAAAACAAAAAUAAUAUUGCAUAACGUCAUUAACCUGCAAAAAGUUUGUGUUUGCAAGAUUGAGCUCGACAGCCCAACAAAUUUAACAGUCUAUCAUGUUUCACAUAGCACACAAUUCCAUAUGCACUACAUUACCCUUAAUAUGCAUAUCCGCAUGCAACAUAUAUUCUUUACUAUGCAUAUCCUACAUGCAUCAAUAAUUCCUUACAAAGCAUACAUUCAUGCAUUAUACAUUUUUAAUUUAUCGAGUUACAUCAUACAACAUGUGUUAUCACAAAUCACAUAUAAAUUGAGUUCCAUAACCCAAUUAACUGAGUCAUAUUUUGACUUUAACAAUUCAUAGAGCAUGAUAUGUAAUUUAGCACAUAACCACAUUCCAUCCACAAACAUAACAGAACUGAAAAACUUGCCUCUAGCACUGUCUAAUAUUAUUGUUUAUCUGCUCUGCGAUGUUCCUACACAAAUUAAAUGUACAUUCAUGCCAUAUCAGUCAAUCAUAUAUUUAAUAUCAACUUAAUUAAUAUUACUAUAUCUUUUUCUUUAAAACUUUCAUUUAGUUUCUUUGAAAGUCUUUAGCUAAUUUCACAAUGUAACUUCUUCUCAUUUCUUGACUUAUACAUUUAACAUGUAUAUAUAUAACUGUAAGUCCAAAUCAGAUUUUUAGUUCAAAACCUCAUACUUUACUAACUCUUACUAUCCUUUAAAUAGAUUCAUUUCAUUUAUAGUUUCUUAAUCGAUUCUCCCCAUAAACUAGUCAUUGCUUUCAUGACUAGUAUUGACCAUCCUUACACAUAUAUUAUCUUUUAACGUUCAAGAUAUAUCAUCAUACGUCACAGCAAAACAGUCUUUAAAGUUUCGUUUUAAAACAAGUUAUAAAACUCAUUUUUAACUAUACGUUAUUUUUCAUAAUAAUGUCAGAACAAAGUUAAGCAUGCAAACUAUGCAAUUUCUCAUAAUGUACAGGAAUUCAGCCUGCACUCGUUUGAAAAAUUUGACUGAAAAUUUUCCACUCCGCCGUCUUUUUUCCUCUCCGUCCUUAAAACAUAAACUGAAUACUACGUUGCCGGAAUUUGAUUCUAAUUGGAAAGAAUUUAAGGUCUAGUUUAAAAGCUUUAUCUCUAAGUGCUUGCAAGUUACAAGAGUAUCUUUGGAGUUCUCCGACAUUAACUUUACACUUAACUGCAAUAACUUUUAUGGGAGAGAGAUUUUAGUUUUGACAAUUUUCCCCAUUUGAAGAAUAUCUAUUUAUGUGUGUUGAAAAUGUAAUAUAAUAUAGAGGUUUUCAAUUUUACUUAAUCUAAUCUCACACACCUCACCAUAUCUCAGUAUUAUUGGGGAAAAUCCUUUCACUUUUAAGUUUUUAGUCUUAGCACCCAGACUCUCAUAUUUUGACCACAAAGGAUAUUUCUCUAAUAUUGUUGUCUGCUAAGGAUGGUUUCUCAUGUUUAGGGAAAGUUGAUAUUGAUAUCCCACAUAUCAAUAAAAAGUUUUACAGAUAUGUGACGCACGAUCUGUAAACAUAUACACAAGGGUAUAAUAUGUGGGUAAAUUGUGAGUAUAAUAGAAAGUGGAUUUUGGGCUCCAAUAGUUUUAAACAAAAGCUAAACUAGCUAGCUGUAACAGUCACGACAACGCAGCGAGUUUGCUGCCCAGCUGAACCAUAACUAACAUGCCCACUUUGCACAUUAUUUUCCCUCAAUUUAUGAAUCCAAUUAUAACAAAAUUGUGAUAUGUUAUAAUUAGUAUAUCAACCCAUUAAAAAAAUACUAACCAAAACAACCACUUGAAACAAGCUUAACAAGUGUCCAAAGUUACCUGGUUGCCACUGAUUUACCAACACAGUCAUUCCAUUCAUAAGACAUUAAGCAGCCCCAAACUUAAAAUUAGUUUGUUCAACUUUCUUCAGUUCUUAUAAAAAAAAAGAUAUAAAAAUUUAUAAUUCAUAAAUUGGACCAAAAUUCUUUUAUUUAUGCUAAGAGCUUAUAAGAAACCUUUUAUCAAACAUAACAUAGGCAUUUAUUUUGGGGGCAAAGAUCAUACAUGUUCGCACGUGUAAAUCCAAACUUUCUUCUUCCAAUACUCCUCACAAUAACAACUAAAUUCCCUCUUUUCUAAUUCAUAGUUAUCACAAUUCAAAUCCCAGUUCAAUUUUUCAUUUAACAUUAUUUUAGCCCCAUAUUUGCAUAUACAUAUUCCAUUACUGAAAUUGUAGAAUAAUCUCAUAACUUACCUCCUUAUUUGCUUUUUAAUUCAAAUUCCUAGAAAUCCUCCUUUGAAGACCAAUUGAUUGUAGUACUUCUGUCCUUUCAAUUUGAUUUACUCGCCUAAUUUGAUGAUUACAUCGGAGCCUAAGAAGAUUUCGACACAAGCUUUGAAGUGCAGUUCCGAAACCAAAAAGAAAGAAGAAGGAAUCUAUCUUAGCUUGGUAAUAAAUUUUUUUUUAAAAUGAACAAGAGAUGGAAUGCAGCAGAGCAUAGAGGACUUACUUAGCUGAGUCAAUCUAAUUACUUACUUAAACUAUGCCACCUCCUAAUCCCAAAAUGAUACGCCCAGGUUUUUUUUUUUUUACUGAGUAUGUUUUGUGGUUUUUCUUUUUCUCAUUUAAUAGACAAAAGCUUAGUGUCUUGUAUCAUGUUUAAUAAAGUGACACCUCCUGCUUCCUUAUAUCAUGAAUCAGCAUUCAUGAAUUAAAAGCUUCUCGUUCCAGCAUACAUGUGUUAUACCCAUAUUUUACUCUACAUCCUUAUUCCCACAUAUAUGUACAUAUAUAGUACAUAUUACACUUCCAAU